rnacentral:rRNA from 1 species
CCUACGGGGGGCUGCAGUGAGGAAUAUUGGUCAAUGGACGAGAGUCUGAACCAGCCAAGUAGCGUGAAGGAUGACUGCCCUAUGGGUUGUAAACUUCUUUUAUAUGGGAAUAAAACGUUCCACGUGUGGGAUUUUGUAUGUACCAUAUGAAUAAGGAUCGGCUAACUCCGUGCCAGCAGCCGCGGUAAUACGGAGGAUCCGAGCGUUAUCCGGAUUUAUUGGGUUUAAAGGGAGCGUAGGUGGAUUGUUAAGUCAGUUGUGAAAGUUUGCGGCUCAACCGUAAAAUUGCAGUUGAAACUGGCAGUCUUGAGUACAGUAGAGGUGGGCGGAAUUCGUGGUGUAGCGGUGAAAUGCUUAGAUAUCACGAAGAACUCCGAUUGCGAAGGCAGUUCACUGGACUGCAACUGACACCGAGGCUCGAAAGUGUGGGUAUCAAACAGGAUUAGAUACCCGGGUAGUC